CACGUAGGCGGAUUUGUAAGUCAGGGGUGAAAUCCCGGGGCUCAACCUCGGAACUGCCUUUGAUACUGCAAAUCUCGAGUCCGGAAGAGGUGAGUGGAAUUCCUAGUGUAGAGGUGAAAUUCGUAGAUAUUAGGAAGAACACCAGUGGCGAAGGCGGUUCACUGGUCCGGUACUGACGCUGAGGUGCGAAAGCGUGGGGAGAAACA
rnacentral:rRNA from 1 species